CGUCAAGUCAUCAUGGCCCUUACGCCCAGGGCUGCACACGUGCUACAAUGGCCGGUACAAUGGGCAGCCACCCCGCGAGGGGGAGCGAAUCCCUAAAGCCGGUCUCAGUUCGGAUUGGAGUCUGCAACUCGACUCCAUGAAGCCGGAAUCGCUAGUAAUCGCGCAUCAGCUACGGCGCGGUGAAUACGUUCCCGGGCCUU
rnacentral:rRNA from 1 species